UACGGUGUGUGCAAGCGUUACUCGGAAUCACUGGGCAUAAAGAGCACGUAGGUGGGCUCGCCAGUCGGAUGUGAAAUCCCCCAGCUCAACUGGGGAACUGCAUCCGAUACUGCGGGUCUUGAGGACGAAAGGGGAGAGUGGAACUUCUGGUGGAGCGGUGAAAUGCGUAGAUAUCAGAAGGAACACCGGUGGCGAAGGCGACUCUCUGGUUCGUUUCUGACACUGAGGUGCGAAAGCGUGGGUAGCAAACGGG
rnacentral:rRNA from 1 species